ensembl:lncRNA
CUUUUCUCUGAUCUUUACAAUGAGAACCUCAUAAGACUCUUAUAAAUAAAAUUCAGGAAAUCAUAAACCUCUGUUCAUAGGGUUGAGCCUCCAGGAGUUUUUGUCUCUGAAGCUAGUUCAUGCACAGGCUCCUGCAAUUAGGCAUUUGCACUUUAAAAAUUCCUACUUGAUGCUGGCUCCAGUGAUGGUUUCUGAGUGAUAUCUGCUCCAGGAGAACAAAGACUCAAGAUGGGAAACUGGCUGAUGGUAUCUGGUGGAGGGAGAGAACCAGUGGAUUAAUUUUGCACAUGUCACAGAGAACAGAUUCCUUCGCCUUCAGGAAUGUCAGC